rnacentral:lncRNA from 1 species
GCAAGUCCCCCUUGCCUCCAUUCUCUCCCCUUCUAAUAUCUUGCCGGCAUUUCAAGCACUAAUCAUCCUGCUCUCCUUCCACGCAUCGUCCUUUAUUCUCGAUACGUCUUCUCCGGUGAAUCUGUGGCAGUGCAAGGUGGUGAGGCAGUUGCGGCGGCACCAGAUCUCUUCCACAGCCACUCAGUCCUGCAUUCCGCCAGCCAUUACAUUCAGCUCCCAGCUCUAUCCCCCACAAGUAGAGGAAAAGCCGUCUGCCCC